GACGAACGCUGGCGGCGUGCUUAACACAUGCAAGUCGAACGGAAAGGCCUGCUUUCCCUUGUGGAUUGCGGGUACUCGAGUGGCGAACGGGUGAGUAACACGUGAGUGAUCUGCCCCCAACUUGGGUAUAAGCCUGGGAAACUGGGUCUAAUUCCCGAUAGGACUGCAGGGUGGUGCCUGUGGUGGAAAACGGUUUUCUAGUGGUUGGGGAUGAGCUCGCGGCCUAUCAGCUUGUUGGUGGGGUAAUGGCCUACCAAGGCGGCGACGGGUAGCCGGCCUGAGAGGGUGGACGGCCACAUUGGGACUGAGAUACGGCCCAGACUCCUACGGGAGGCAGCAGUGGGGAAUAUUGCACAAUGGGCGGAAGCCUGAUGCAGCGACGCCGCGUGGGGGAUGACGGCCUUCGGGUGGUAAACUCCUUUCGACCGCGAGGAAGCCACCUGGUUGGAAGGGUGGUGACGGUAGUGGUAGAAGAAGCACCGGCUAACUACGUG
rnacentral:rRNA from 1 species